GAUGAACGCUAGCGGCAGGCCUAACACAUGCAAGUCGAGGGAGAAGCCCUUUCGGGGGUGGAAACCGGCGCACGGGUGCGUAACGCGUAUGCAACCUACCUUUCACAGGGGGAUAGCCCGAAGAAAUUUGGAUUAAUACCCCAUAAUAUUAUUGGAUGGCAUCAUUUGAUAAUUAAAACUGCGGUGGUGAAAGAUGGGCAUGCGUCCUAUUAGCUAGUUGGAGUGGUAACGGCACCCCAAGGCUACGAUAGGUAGGGGUCCUGAGAGGGAGAUCCCCCACACUGGUACCGAGACAGGGACCAGACUCCUACGGGAGGCAGCAGUGAGGAAUAUUGGUCAAUGGUCGGAAGACUGAACCAGCCAUGCCGCGUGCAGGAAGAAUGCCUUAUGGGUUGUAAACUGCUUUUAUAUGGGAAGAAUAAGGCGUAACGUGUACGUUGAUGACGGUACCAUAUGAAUAAGCAUCGGCA
rnacentral:rRNA from 1 species